CCCUUAGAUGUCCUGGGCCGCACGCGUGCUACACUGACGCCUACAGCGAGUACUUCCCAGCCCCGAGAGGCGGCUGGUAAUCAGCAAUAGGCGUCGUGAUGGGGAUAGAUCUUUGGAAUUAUGGAUCUUGAACGAGGAAUGCCUAGUAAGCGCAGGUCAUUAGCCUGCGCUGAUUACGUCCCUGCCCUUUGUACACACCGCCCGUCGCUACUACCGAUUGAAUGGUCCGGUGAAGCGUUCGGACCGUGGCCUUUGGACGGUUCGCCGUCUGUUGGCUGCGGGAAGUUCGUUAAACCUUAUCAUUUAGAGGAAGGAGAAGUCGUAACA
rnacentral:rRNA from 1 species